rnacentral:sRNA from 1 species
UGAAGAGGGAGCUCUAUCGCCACCAUGAGUUUCUCCGGCAAGUACCAACUGCAGAGCCAGGAAAACUUUGAAGCCUUCAUGAAGGCAAUCGGAGGGACCUAGCUUGGAAGAUCAACUGUCUGGUCACCAGGGGUAUGGGGAAUGAAAUGCUCACACUCCAAGAGCAAAGUCAUCAAAGGAGGAGGGAAUGAGGAAGGAGAGUGAGCAAGAACCAGGGUGCUUACAAGAGGAACGGUUCUUCAGGCCAGAAGAGUGUCCUUUUUAUAAAUUGACUGGCAAGAUAGCAGCAGGCCAGGCGAGGUCACUGUCCCUUCCUUCCUGAGGCCACAGCCCACGCUGCUCACAAGCCCCCAGUCUGCCAGAAGAGCUCAUCCAGAAGGGGAAGGAUAUCAAGGGGGUGUCGGAAAUCAUGCAGAAUGGGAAGCACUUCAAGUUCACCAUCACCACUGGGUCCAAAGUGAUCCAAAACGAAUUCACCGUGGGGGAGGAAUGUGAGCUGGAGACAAUGACAGGGGAGAAAGUCAAGACAGUGGUUCAUUUGGAAGGUGACAAUAAACUGGUGACAACUUUCAAAAACAUCAAGUCUGUGACCGAACUCAACGGCGACAUAAUCACCAGUGUAAGUUGGUGGUGCUCUGAGCAUGUGGCUCCCAGUGCUUGAGGGGAAAGGGGAGGUGAUGCAUGGGGAGCAGCUCACUUACCCUAAUGCCACCCUUCCACCCUCCAACCCCCAAACUUCUUUCCUGUGGUCAGUAUCUGCCAGCACUUACUGAGGAUCCAUAAUGUCCCAGGCAGUUUACACACAUUAUCACUAAUCCUUUCUGCUCGGCACCAACCAACCAGCCACAGAGGCCUCCACCUGCCCUGCAUGCCCAGGGUGCUUCAUAAAUGCCUUUGCCCAUUUAGCGUUUAUAAAGAGAAUCCCAUUCAUGGUCAUAUUAUGGCAGCUUACAAGCCUGGCACAGUCCAGUUAUGCAGUCAGCCUUGGUGCCUGGCUGCCAACCACAUCCUAUACCCUAUUUGGGGGUGAAUGGUGCAGUGUUUUUCCUGCAGGUAUGUCCCCCUGACUCUUCUUUGCCCCCAGAAUAUGCUUUAGGGAGUCACAGACAACAGAACACUGCCUCAGGGCACUGUCAUCACUCUGUUCAAAUGGAAAAAUUCUUAAACUAGAGAGAGUGUGAGCAUCAACCACCCAAUGUGCAGUUUCCACCUCCAUCCCAGCACAUUCCCAGGAAAGCAGGGGAGCAGGAGAUGAGCUGUCCUGCAGUAAAUCCUGGCCAACGCCCUUUGAUAGGUUCCAUCUCACCUAAUCCUCCUGUCUCCUUCGAGGGAGGCUGGAUGAGGGAUUCAAUAGACAGGUUGACCUGUCCAAGUCAUCGGCUAAUAAAUGGUAAAUCCAGGGCUCAAACCCAUCAAGCAGCAACCAUUGCAUUGCUGCUGAAGCUGAGGGGCUCCUUUUCACCUUGAUGACAUGGUAUGUCAUUCCAGCAGUCUCAUUCAAGAGAACUGGCAGGGGUGGAGGGAACAUCCUUAAAAACUCAAAAGCUGAUGCAUCCACUGUUUUUAUACGCUUCACAGCUCUAGGAGGACAAUUAUGCACUACCCACUGCCUUCCAGGCUGUAUGCCUAGUUGUGUCCAUGUACAUGUAUCCUUGGUGCUCAACAUGUAUUUGGUGCAUAGUAGGUACUCAAUGAAACUUUGAGAAAUUGGAUUGGGCUGGUUUGGAUGGUCUUGCUAUAACAGACAUUGAUGUAGAAAAGAAUUCAGUCAAAGGCAGGAGGACUUUCCAGGUGAGAAGGAGAAGUGACAAAGACUUGGCAUAGGAUUUUGGAAAACAUUGCCAACCUUUCCUCCGGUCCUACAGGAAACCAGAUGAAGUUUUGAAUUGUUUCAUAUGCCAACAUAUUUGGUGCCGUUUUUUAAGCUUAAUUUUGUUUUUUACAAUACAACAUCAGAUGAACACUUCAUAAUUUCUUUUCUGGCUUUCAGACCAUGACAUUGGGCGACAUUGUCUUCAAGAGAAUCAGCAAGAGAAUUUAAACAAGUCUGCAUUUCAUAUUAUUUU